GUGCUGAACAAAUUCCACUCCCCCAAUUCUCAAAGGACAGGGAUAAACUGAACCCUAACAUUUUGCCCUCUAGGUGAAAUUUUACUGAUUAAACUUAUUUUUCCACUAGUGAGUAACUAUCACACUCUGGAUGAUUGUUGUAGCAAGGACUAUAUCCCUGGGCAUUAUCUCUAAAACAAUGGCCAUAUAUUCUGGUUUCCAGAAAGUCCUUCAGAUGUACACCUCGGCGGCUCACACAGGUCGGUUACAUGUUGGGAGGGACCGUAGCUGGUUAAUGUUAAGUACAUGUUAAAUAUGCUUGCAUAAUAUUAAUAAACUAAACUUCAAACACACAAUCUGACAUGCUUUGAAGGGACUCUUAACUCAUGGUUGACAAAUCAUCUCCCAAGCCUCUUAAAGCAUCGAGAGCAAAAUUUAAUUUAUUCGGUCAAAGGAAACUUGGUGGUCCAGGUGGGUCAUGCGUGGCUCUGACUUCAGGAGCUCAGGGCUGAUCUUGGGGUCUCCUGUUCUUACUCCUCAUUGUAAGUGAAAACCACUGGGAGACACACAGGCAGACUGUGGGGGCUUCAUCAGUACCCCAGGAACCCACGGCUAACGUGCGCGGGGCAUUUUAACGUUCCCCCCAACAGAGACUGCAAACGUCUCCGCGGUCCUGGAAGGCGGCGCAGGACCCGCGCUCGCGCUCCGGGCUGCUGCGGGGCCGUCCGGCAGGACACGGCCCGCCCUGGCGCCGCCCCUCAGCACAGCCCUCGGCCCAUUCCAACAGCUCAGUGUUACCGGGCCCCGCUCGGCCAAACACCGUCCAUCCUCUUCCAAUGGCAAAAUAAUCACCAGGUGGCAAACGAUGCACACACAAUUCAAACGUGGUGGCUCACGCCCAGGACAGGAGAUCCGAGCCGCGAGCGGGGCGCUGCAGCUCCGGGUCCGACCAGAACAAAGGCCGUCGCGGGGACGGUGGCAGUUGUCAGCAGGCGACACGAGGGACCCUUCUAGAGACGCAGGGGCCUUACCGUCCUUCCCGCUCCGGCGCUUGGGCCUCUGAGACGCUCCUGGACUCUCCAAAACAUGAAUUUCCGCGUGGGACGAGAAGAUGAGCCUGGGCAAGGUCAAGCCUCUCUCUAGGGAUCUGCUUUCUGUAGCAGUUUUCACGACAGAAGAGAUGAUUUCCACACCCACCCCCCAAAAUUGUGUUUCUGCGUGGCCCUGGAAACACGUUUCACAGUCCGCAUUUUGCCAUGAGAGCUAUAGGCGGUAUUAAUCCCAGGGUUAGUGUGAUGCGCGCACACACACACACACACACACGCGCGCGCACACACACACACACACACACUUUAUAGUACAUAAUAGCAAAGGGCCUUAUGUAAAACACAUAUGCAAUAACUUUAUUCAAAAGACUUUAUAAUCAUAUUAUUCAGAUUGUUCUCAUCUAAAUAAAACAUAAUACAUGAGCA
rnacentral:lncRNA from 1 species